CAGCCGCCGCGGGAAUACGGAGGGUGCAAGCGUUAAUCGGAAUUACUGGGCGUAAAGCGUGCGUAGGCGGUUCGUUAAGUCUGUUGUGAAAGCCCCGGGCUCAACCUGGGAAUGGCAAUGGAUACUGGCGAGCUAGAGUGUGUCAGAGGAUGGUGGAAUUCCCGGUGUAGCGGUGAAAUGCGUAGAGAUCGGGAGGAACAUCAGUGGCGAAGGCGGCCAUCUGGGACAACACUGACGCUGAGGCACGAAAGCGUGGGGAGCAAACAGGAUUAGAUACCCCCGUAGUCCCUGUCUCUUAUAU
rnacentral:rRNA from 1 species